rnacentral:rRNA from 1 species
AACUUGGGUUAGGUUCGCAACGCUUUGCGCUUCAACUGAUUUGAAGAGCUUGCUCAGAUAUGACGAUGGACAUUGCAAAGAGUGGCGAACGGGUGAGUAACACGUGGGAAACCUACCUCUUAGCAGGGGAUAACAUUUGGAAACAGAUGCUAAUACCGUAUAACAAUGACAACCGCAUGGUUGUUAUUUAAAAGAUGGUUCUGCUAUCACUAAGAGAUGGUCCCGCGGUGCAUUAGCUAGUUGGUAAGGUAAUGGCUUACCAAGGCGAUGAUGCAUAGCCGAGUUGAGAGACUGAUCGGCCACAAUGGGACUGAGACACGGCCCAUACUCCUACGGGAGGCAGCAGUAGGGAAUCUUCCACAAUGGGCGAAAGCCUGAUGGAGCAACGCCGCGUGUGUGAUGAAGGGUUUCGGCUCGUAAAACACUGUUGUAAGAGAAGAAUGACAUUGAGAGUAACUGUUCAAUGUGUGACGGUAUCUUACCAGAAAGGAACGGCUAAAUACGUGCCAGCAGCCGCGGUAAUACGUAUGUUCCAAGCGUUAUCCGGAUUUAUUGGGCGUAAAGCGAGCGCAGACGGUUAUUUAAGUCUGAAGUGAAAGCCCUCAGCUCAACUGAGGAAUUGCUUUGGAAACUGGAUGACUUGAGUGCAGUAGAGGAAAGUGGAACUCCAUGUGUAGCGGUGAAAUGCGUAGAUAUAUGGAAGAACACCAGUGGCGAAGGCGGCUUUCUGGACUGUAACUGACGUUGAGGCUCGAAAGUGUGGGUAGCAAACAGGAUUAGAUACCCUGGUAGUCCACACCGUAAACGAUGAGUGCUAGGUGUUUGAGGGUUUCCGCCCUUAAGUGCCGCAGCUAACGCAUUAAGCACUCCGCCUGGGGAGUACGACCGCAAGGUUGAAACUCAAAGGAAUUGACGGGGACCCGCACAAGCGGUGGAGCAUGUGGUUUAAUUCGAAGCAACGCGAAGAACCUUACCAGGUCUUGACAUCCCUUGACAACUCCAGAGAUGGAGCGUUCCCUUCGGGGACAAGGUGACAGGUGGUGCAUGGUUGUCGUCAGCUCGUGUCGUGAGAUGUUGGGUUAAGUCCCGCAACGAGCGCAACCCUUAUUACUAGUUGCCAGCAUUCAGUUGGGCACUCUAGUGAGACUGCCGGUGACAAACCGGAGGAAGGUGGGGAUGACGUCAAAUCAUCAUGCCCCUUAUGACCUGGGCUACACACGUGCUACAAUGGCGUAUACAACGAGUUGCCAACCCGCGAGGGUGAGCUAAUCUCUUAAAGUACGUCUCAGUUCGGAUUGUAGGCUGCAACUCGCCUACAUGAAGUCGGAAUCGCUAGUAAUCGCGGAUCAGCACGCCGCGGUGAAUACGUUCCCGGGUCUUGUACACACCGCCCGUCACACCAUGAGAGUUUGUAACACCCAAAGCCGGUGGGGUAACCUUCGGGAGCCAGCCGUGUAAUUU